rnacentral:rRNA from 1 species
CACGUAGGGUGCAAGCGUUGUCCGGAAUCAUUGGGCGUAAAGAGCUCGUAGGCGGCUUAGUAAGUCGGGUGUGAAAACCCCAGGCUCAACCUGGGGACGCCACCCGAUACUGCUAUAGCUAGAGUCCAGUAGGGGAGUGUGGAAUUCCCAGUGUAGCGGUGAAAUGCGCAGAUAUUGGGAGGAACACCAGCGGCGAAGGCGGCACUCUGGGCCGAUAUUGACGCUGAGGAGCGAAAGCGUGGGGAGCGAACAGG